UACGGGGGGAGCAAGCGUUGUUCGGAUUUACUGGGCGUAAAGGGCGGGUAGGCGGCCACCGCAAGUCAGUUGUGAAAUCUCUGGGCUUAACCCAGAAAGGUCAACUGAUACUGCGGGGCUAGAGUGCAGAAGGGGCAACUGGAAUUCUCGGUGUAGCGGUGAAAUGCGUAGAUAUCGUAAGGAAGACCAGUGGCGAAGGCGAGUCUCUGGACAGUUACCGACGCUGAGGCACGAAGGUCAGGGGAGCAAACGGG
rnacentral:rRNA from 1 species